rfam:Salmo salar isolate Sally breed double haploid chromosome ssa15, whole genome shotgun sequence.
UGCAUUCAGUACUGUAAGUCGCUCUGGAUAAGAGUGUCUCCUAAAUGACUAAAA